rnacentral:tRNA from 1 species
GUAUGUGGCUCAGUGUUAGAGUGCUCCCCUAGCACGUGUGAGGUGCUGGGUUUGAUCCUCAGUACUACA